rnacentral:rRNA from 1 species
UACGUAGGGGGCAAGCGUUGUCCGGAAUCAUUGGGCGUAAAGCGCGCGUAGGCGGCCCCGUAAGUCCGCUGUGAAAGUCAAAGGCUCAACCUUUGAAAGCCGGUGGAUACUGUGGGGCUAGAGUCCGGAAGAGGCGAGUGGAAUUCCUGGUGUAGCGGUGGAAUGCGCAGAUAUCAGGAGGAACACCAAUAGCGAAGGCAGCUCGCUGGGACGG